rnacentral:rRNA from 1 species
UACGUAGGGGGCAAGCGUUGUCCGGAUUUAUUGGGCGUAAAGAGCGUGUAGGCGGCCAGGUAGGUCUGGUGUGAAAACUCGGGGCUUAACCCCGAGCCUGCAGUGGAUACGGGCAGACUAGAGGUAGGUAGGGGGAGAAUGGAAUUCCCGGUGUAGCGGUGAAAUGCGCAGAUAUCGGGAGGAACACCGGUGGCGAAGGCGGUUCUCUGGGCCUUACCUGACGCUGAGGAGCGAAAGCGUGGGGAGCGAACAGG